AGCAGUGUUUGAAGAACUAGCGCUCAGGAAACUGAAUGCAGGCUUUGCUGAUCCUGGAUCUGAAAGUGAAUGUAAUUAGAUUAGUUGAGAAAAAGUACAAAGUAAAAACCAGGAGUGCAUCUAUGGAUAACUGAACAAUGUCCAAAUAUCAGAAAACGCAUUUCUGUAGUUUUGCAGAAAUGACAGUCAAAUAAUUCACUGCCUAGCGAGAAGCAAUAUUAAGAUUUAUUUAUUGUAUUUAUCUCUAACCUUUUUCCUGCAAGGAAUCCAUGGAACUUUUCAGAAUUCUCCUCCUCCUCCUAUUUUACCCUCAGAAGAACCCUGUGAGCACUAUGAAGAUCCAAGGACACUCCUGACCUCAUGGAAUAUUUAGCCAGAAUUUCAAUUUAGAAAACCAAACAGACUGUUUCAAAGCAUCAGACUGCCACGCUACCUAGGGCCUGCACUGAAUCCUUCAGCCAGCAGCCAUCCUAGAUUCCACAUGAGCUGAGCAACCCGUAUAUGAAGGUAAUAUCCCAUGCGGGACACUGGGAUGUUGUCCAGAGUCCCUGCCUUCUUCAAGAUGACUCCUAAAUUUUAUUGGAAACAGUUUGGCAACCUUUCAGCAAAUGGGGAGCCAUUAAAAAGGUAAAGGUAAAGGCUUCCCCUUGACAUUAAGUCCAGUCAUGCCUGACUCUAGGGGGUGGUGCUCAUCUCCGUUUCCUAGCCGAGGGAGCCAGCGUUUGUCCAU